rnacentral:lncRNA from 1 species
GGGGCAGUCAGGAGUCCCGAGUGCUGGGGAUGGUGGCACCCACCAUGAGGACCCCAGCCCUGGGUUCCCCGUUCAUCGCGUCCGAUGGGACCCUUCACUCCCACAGAGGUCUGCAGCCUCACUCCCCCUUGGCACGAGUAGCAGGGAGGGACCUGGACGACUACCGGCCCGUCCCGCCGGCCACGGCCUCCGACGAUCCCAAAGGUGGGAACACACACACACACACACACACACACACACACACACACACACACACACACACACACACACACACACACGCACGCACAGAGCUGCCAUUGCAAAGUAUAUGCUUACAGGUGAAACCCAUGGGAACAUCUUUGGUUAGAUCACGGUGUCACUGCGAAUCGGCACUGGCAGUUUGUACCGCGUUCUUCAUACCGUGGAUUGCGCAACCGGAGCCCGAGGGAGCGGCAGUCAGGCUCUCAGUCUGGUCGCCAGUUUUGCAAGCAGAAGUUGCCCGCUUCCUGCAGCAGCUAUGAUGGGCUCUUUUUCUCCCGAUGGCUGUCUAGAUCCAACCGCCGGCACUCGGGAGCUCCCUUCCCCGGCCGCAGAGCUCUUACACCCCGGCAGCGCCCCUCUAAAGCCCCCACCGGAGAUCCCCCAGCCGAGGAGGGCCGUCCCCGCGGCGACCGUCCCGCUGUCUGCUCUGACCUGCGACCCCUGGAGGGCGGACGCCUCUCAGGUCAAACGUCUAUAUUCGAAACCGUUUUUAAAAUUCCUUCCUGAAAAUUCCCUUUGCCGCAUUUGCUCCUCAAUCCUCAUUCAGGUCGUUUUCCACCACAUUUUGGGGAUCAUGAGCAACGACGGCCUUCGCUGCCGUUACACGCUAAGAAAAAACCAGACACCGCAAAAAAUCAGCCUCAUUAACUUUCAUUUCAUUUCCCCCAGGAGACCUCCUUCAUCGCGUUCCUCUCCCGUCACCUUUUUUUAUUUGAUUUUAUUUAGUUUUAUUUACUCCAUUUCAAUUCCAUUCGUCCAUCAUGCGCAGGCUUUUCCGGUAAUGCCUGCCAUAGGCUUCAUCCCUCCCGCCAGGCCUCCGGGGGACGGGCCCUUCUUCCAGAGGGAGAGUGCGAACGCAGCCGAGUUCCCCCCAAACAGCAGAGAGGUCCUGUGGCCGUUACCCAACUACCCCGCCAUAUUUCCCGACGCCCUCACCAUGCCUCCUUCAUACCAGUGUCCCACCUACGUGCCUCACCUUCCGCUCCACCCGUCCUGGUACAGGUUGGACAUCCCACCUUUUCUGUACAAGAAGGCCUCCGUCCACCCGUCUGAGCUGAGUGCGUUCCCUCCCCUUCACCUGUCCCACCCUCUGUCCAGGGACACCUUUGGGCUCAAACCGUCUGGGUUUGCGGUUGGCCCUCACAGCAGCUCCGCAGAAGGAAGAAUAGUCAAGGAAGGGGCGGCGAUCCAUAAGAGCAAGGAGAGCAAGCCUGUUUCCCAUUUGCCCCAGAAUGUGCUAAUGCACACGCCAGAACGUCUGCAGAGGAAGGAGGGGAAGGGGCAGAGAAUGGUGGUAACGGGCAGGACCCCCAGUCGAGAUGGGGGCAAGCCAGACAAGAACCGGAUGGUUGCCGUGGAAACGCUUCCUAUCGCCAACUCCUGUUUCAAUAGGCAUAGAAGGGGAUUUUCCAGUUCAGCUCCCUCAGGGCCAGAUGUUCAAGACUUGGGUCAAAAUCCGGAGUGUCAUUUGUGGCCGUGGGUGUCUUUGCAACACACGAAAAAAGCGGCCAGGUCUAAUGGGUUGCUGGUUCCAGGAAGACCUCAGCAUCUGACCAAAGAGGGUCAACUUUCCCAUGUUUUGCCUCCAGUCAAGACCAAGCUGAAGGAUGGUCUCAACAGGAGAGAUGGAGAGAAAGGUUUGGCACAAGUGGAUUCUGGGAGCUACCUGAGACAUCUACUAACAGAACCACGGGAUUCUCUGAAGGCCUUAGACCUCAGUCCAAAGAUCCAGCGAGGUAAAUAUAGGGAUGAGCACAAGGCCACACAGCCGUCCCCCAGCAGAGCUCGAGAUGAGAUCCACCAAAAGGGGGAGAGUGUCUCUUCACGUGGGCAACAAGAAGACUGUUCACCAGCGCCGGCAGAAAAUGAGCAGAAUGAUACACAAGGUCAAAGGUCAGCAAGAUCCAGCUCCAUGCCCAACCUGUUGUUAACUCACAGUCCGCACAGCGAACAUGAAAGACUGAAGGGUUUCGGUGGAAGAGGCAUCAGCACAAAAGAGGAGCUUCAGAAGAAAGAGGUUCACUUGAAAAGGGGAUCUCCUCGGGGUGGAGCAAAUCUGAACCUCAGAGUGCCUGGAAAUGGACACCUAGGCGCUGGGGGGCUGACCUGCACCAAAGGUGCCAAUGAAACAAAUCCAAGCAAAAGGGCACUUGAACCUCCUGCGACAAAAAGUGAAGAAUCAGCUCAGGAAUCUUCCCCAGCGAAGACCAGUAGACUGGGUCACUGUGAAGCCCCAGCAAACUCUUCUUCAUGUACAAUAAGUGGCAGCCAGGAAAGUUCAUGCUCAGCUCAUUGUGAGUGCUCAUCCUUGCAGGUGGGGGGUGAGAAGACCCAAGAGAAUGCGAAAAGAAGACUUUGUGGAAAUACCACGAGCCAGGGGGGGUCGGCAGAACGUUCCCCAGGCGGCUUCCCAAAUCAGUGCUGGGAGGAGCCCGUCCAAGAACAUGAUGGUUACCAGGACCACGCAGAUGGGACGCAUGGUGUUCACGGUCAGGUGGGAGGUUUCAGCAUUUUGGACCUGACCACAUCCAGCUUGUCCAGCGAUGAGGAGACAGAGGAGAAGCCUGGCUGGCAGGGGGUGGAAGGUGUACUGGAGAUGUACAAGUCCUACUUAGAAGAGACCACAUUUGAAGAGAAGAUACUUCAAGAGCAGCUCAGACUUUCGAAAGAGAAAAACAACGAGCUCAGUCGGGUGGCCAAAAAUCUGAAGGCGCAGAUCCAGGACCUGCAGACCAGCAAGGAGAAGCUGGAGGCGGAGCAGCGGCUCCAAGAGGCGGCACUGGACCGGCUCAGGAGCUGCCUUGUCCUCGUCUAG